rnacentral:lncRNA from 1 species
GGAGGAAGAACAUGGUCACUUGGAUCCGAGCAGGUCUCCUGAUUUAUCUUUGUCAGUUUUUGGAACCUAUAAGUUCGGGCAGCGACGAGGCUAAAUUACACGAAGGAAAGACGAGAGAAAAAAGGGGCGCUGUGUAUCCUGUUGGAACCGUUUUGCAGUUUUCCGUCGCUUUGGCCUACCCAAUCGAGAUCCCGAAACGGAAAGCGGCCACAAAUUUGGGUGUCUUGAUUAACAUCGACCUACCAUUCAACAUCACACAGCUUUACCCGUACACGCCGGAAGUAGACCAGGCCCGAGCUUUGUCACAUGACGCAUUAUAUGACGAUUUGGAGCGGAUUCUCAGCGAGCAUGGGUUUAAUGGUCAAGAAUGUAUCCUCAAAAGCAUAUGCCAAAUAGCGGGACGGAAAUCCGAAAAGGACGAUCUGGGCCACAGUUUUCUUCAACUUCUUUUCCAGCCGAAGUUUCUAGGAAAUUGCACAGACGCAAGAUGCACACUUAUCAAGGAGGCAAGAGUGGCGGGCAUCCUCCAUGUUGACUGCAACUUCAAGUACAACACGUGUCCAACAUCUUUUUUGGAUCUAAUUACAUCAUAAUCAAUUUGUACACGAUAAUGUGCGGGCCACAUUUCCAGUCGCUGAGUUCGAAGUUCAUGUUCAUCUUAAUUUGCAUCGGCGUUUUGCUUCAUCUCACGUCAUCGGCUUAUUGCGAUGACUCAAGGGCUUUGGUCUACACACUAGGUGGGGUCAUUAAGGUAGGUCAUCAUGUUCUUAUUAAAAUUGAACCUAAGCAUUUAUUUAAAAAAACA